UGACCUUUAGUGGAUUUGUCUCCUGCGAGUGCUACUAUCGACUACUUUCUGUCUUUCGUCUUAGUGUCUGAAAUCAUGUUGGCAGCUUUUUGAUGUCUGAGGUCUGGAAAGCUAAUGAAAGAUGUCAGAGAAACCAACAGUAGACACUGGUCCUCAAUAUCAACAACUUGCUAUGUGUUCAGCACCAGCGACAGAUGUGUUCACCUGUGUGGGGGUGAUGUUCAGCACCAAGGACAGGGUUUCCAGUAGAGUGGUGUCGCGUACAAACAUCCACUGCCGUUGCACAUGAAACGCCAUCAUUGAAAACAGCACCAGGAACAUCAGUACUAGGAAGCCCAUCCUCUUCCUACCCAGGGAGCCGUGGAAAAUCCCUGUCGCACCGUGGCAUGCCAUUGUUUUG